CCUACGGGCGGCAGCAGUGAGGAAUAUUGGUCAAUGGACGAAAGUCUGAACCAGCCAAGCCGCGUGCAGGAAGACUGCCCUAUGGGUUGUAAACUUCUUUUGUAUGGGGAUAAAUCCCGGUACGUGUACCGUGUUGUAUGUACCUUACGAAUAAGGAUCGGCUAACUCCGUGCCAGCAGCCGCGGUAAUACGGAGGAUCCGAGCGUUAUCCGGAUUUAUUGGGUUUAAAGGGUGCGUAGGCGGUUGGUUAAGUUAGUGGUGAAAGCCCGGGGCUCAACCCCGGAACUGCAGCUGAUACUGUCGGGCUAUAGUGCAGUAGAGGUAGGCGGAAUGCAUGGUGUAGCGGUGAAAUGCAUAGAGAGCACACAGAACUCCGAUUGCGAAGGCAGCUUACCGGACUGUGACUGACGUUGAGGCACGAAAGCGUGGGUAGCAAACAGGAUUAGAUACCCUGGUAGUC
rnacentral:rRNA from 1 species